CCAUGUUCUUUACAAGCAGAAACCCGGGUCGCUCCCUGAUUGGUCAAUGCCAUGGUGGGAGGCCACGUGAUGUGACGUCAGUCUGAGGCCAUUCCUCUCGAGCUCGCCAAGGUGGUCGGAAGCAAAAUCUCGAUUUUCUUCUAAAUUUCGCAUGGAAUUACAGAAAUUCUGCUUUGGCCACAUAACUUCCCUUGAUCUCUGAUAUGAGAUGACGGUCGAGGUGUCCAUGGUGGUAAGAGAUGACAGCCGGUGGUCCAUGAUGCUAGGAGGUGAAGGUUCUGUCCAGAAAUCACCCGGUGAUCUCAAUCCAAGCUAGGUGAUGGACCAUAAUCAGCAGUCAGAUCAACAAUGUUCAAUACAAGGCCAUCGAGUCCUAGUCCUAGUCUUUCAUGGUGAUCGGUUCGGCAAAGAAGGAUAACGCGGACACAGUACCAUACGAGGUGGGAUGUCAUACACACGAAGCGGCUGGACUCCACAGGGAAUCAGAUGAUACAGCGGAUACAAUACUACACACGGUGGAAUGGCGUCAAUGGCGUAAUCAAGUCACGUGAUCUAUAUACGAGGACGACGUCGAAGUCAUGGCAUAUUAGCCCCUUCUUUUUUGAGAAAUCACAGGAACGUGCACGUGCGUCACAGACGUUUUGAAUACUUAAACGUUGGGAAAAACGUAAGAUUGCGAAACCUCUCUUUUUUUGCUCUGUUGCCUAAUGCAUGAACCUGACAUGGUACAUGAACACGGGAAAACUCGUUUGAGUGAAUCGGAAAACCAGAAAUUAGAAUGAACUUUGUCAGUAGCAAUGUAAUGAUCUUUGGGUCUUUGCUUUUAUCACCAGAAUACUCGACGUAUCAGGUGGAAAUUGUAAGAAAUUGAGAAGAGUUUUAUUGGUUAAUUAUGGGGGCAAUCUUUCAAGCUACAUGUGAUCAGGUUCAUGCACAGGGCUACAGUGUUGGCCAUUGGUGAAACAAUUGUUCCAUCUCAGGUGUAUCUUCAUCAAGGUGAAAGUACAUUUAGUCACUUGGGGAAUUAGUCCUAUCCUAUUGUCCAAUGAGUGUUCAGCGAUUUACAGUUAGAGAUGCCAUGCCUUCAUAAUACGAUUGUAAAAACAACGCAGACUAUUUGAAAAAUCAAGUUAAAAAAACCCUGUCCAUUCCGGUAAACUUUCUUGGCUCAAGUAGGCCACUUUUAUAUAUCAUUUCACGAAAGUCUCCUGUUUAAAAACGGGCAAAAAAUACUUUCGCGAAAGAAAAGUAAAAAAAGGUUCAGCCUGGAUUCGAACCAGUGAUCCCUUGAACUAGAAUCCGACGCUCUUACCACUACUCCAUAAAACCACCCACUGGAAGGGGCCGGCAAUGUGAGAGUCAAUGAAAACAUGUGCUCAGACCUUCAUCAUUGAGUUAUGUCACGAUCAUUCAAUUGAGUAUACAAGUUCCAGGACUCUUUGUCCAAAUUGUGUGGAUUUCACGUCACUGCCACAGACCCUUUGAUAGGCCAUUGUGGUCCCUAAAUCUGUAUAUUCCAUUGAAUGAGACAAUAGGGCCUACUGUUGCUGUCCAAACUGUCCAAUAAUUUUUCCACGUUACUGUGUUUGCUGGUAGUUUGGUAUCACAAGCUCGUGAUAUAUCAAUACAAGCACAGGGUGUUAAUCAAAACAAGUUACAGUCUUGAGGCCUAAUAGCCGUUGUUCUAAAUGACUUGGCCAAUUUGAUUUGUACCAUCAACAAAUAGAAUCCCUCAGAAUUUGUUGCAUACUAACUGAAGUAUAAUCUAUCCAGUUCAUGUACUUCUUACACAACUGGAAUUCAAAAUGUUUUAAUUAACACCCUGUAUACUUGAUGAACAUAUCACGUAUAAGUUCCAAUUCAAAGCCGUGGCAGUUGUAGUUUGACUUGCGACGGUUAUUUCAAAAAGUAUUUUUUGUGUAUAAAAACCUUAUCAUAGUCUCGAACUACACCUUCCACCAUGGACCACCCAGGCUCCUCAAGUCUGGUGUCCUCGAAAACCCUCAUUCAGCCCCCUUUCCAUUUUGGGAAAACAUUCAAUCAGAAAUGGAAAACAUUUGUGAUACCCUGUAUAUGUGUAUUUAUGUUAAGAUGUCGGAUAUUCCGUUGUGAUCAAAAGUAGAAAUUAGUUUAUCAACAACAUCAUUUAACUGCUGCAGUACGAAGUUGUUUCUUAAGAAUAUCAAUUAAGAAAACAAAACCCCUAUAAACUAAAAGUAACACGUAUUCACCCAUUCUGAAUUACAUAAACAAGAGUUGACCUCUUAGUCCCAAAAAGCUGAGAAUCAAUUUGGUGAUCCGAUUUCUGGUUGCGGCUAACUGGGUCUACUCUGGCGUCCGAUUCCAGACCAUGAGCGUACUCUUCCAUAUAAGGCUGCGGCUGGGAACGAACAUCGCCGUACUGGGUCCUCGCAUGAUAAGUGGGCAGUGACACCGCAUCCAGAUUUUGAUGUUGAGUUCUGAAAUAACUAAUUGGUACACCCAAGAAUUGACUGUGUAAUAACAUACACAUUUCAAUCGUUGGGGUAAAUUAAUCUAUGUCAUUAAAGCAACAUCAACAUUCGAAAUGUUUGAACGGAUUUAUCAGGGCAUUAAGAUAACAUUAUCAAUCGCCCUUUUUUAAAAACCAUGCUACCAAUCCAGACCUUAGAUCCAAAUCAAAUGAAAUGUAUGGAAAUCCAUCCCCUUCCAGACUGUUCAAGAUAUUCUAAAGAAACAAUUAACUGACGGCAAUACUCUGUACAACAGAUUAAGAUUUAGGCCUUAAUUACCGGUACUUGAUUCAGACUGUGUAAAAAUACUUUAAUCUCACUUCUAUAAGACCAUCUAAUGAACUUUACAGAAGGAAUGAUUGCGGCUGCGGUAUAUCCUUUGACUUCCGCAGCUGUAGUGUAAACUGUAAGACUUCACAAGCACUAAAGCUGUCUUAUCACUUUCUAUUUGCUACGUGGAUUUGGGUUGUGUUAAAAUUCACGAAAAUGGUCUUAUAUUUGUGAUUUUACAGUAUUUCGCCUUCUUUGCGUGUACUGUGAAAAUGAUUAGUAGUUUUUUUAAUAAAACUUGUG